rnacentral:rRNA from 1 species
UACGAAGGGGGCUAGCGUUGCUCGGAAUCACUGGGCGUAAAGCGCACGUAGGCGGCUUUUUAAGUCAGGGGUGAAAUCCUGGAGCUCAACUCCAGAACUGCCUUUGAUACUGAGAGCUUGAGUCCGGGAGAGGUGAGUGGAACUGCGAGUGUAGAGGUGGAAAUUCGUAGAUAUUCGCAAGAACACCAGUGGCGAAGGCGGCUCACUGGCCCGGUACUGACGCUGAGGUGCGAAAGCGUGGGGAGCAACAGGAUAGUACCCGGUAUCCGAGUCACCAACGAUCGUCUCGCA